GGAGUUAGCCGGUGCUUCUUCUGUGAGUGAUGUCCUUCCUGCCGGUUAUUGACCCGCAGGCCUUCUUCCUCACUGAAAGUGCUUUACAACCCGAAGGCCUUCUUCACACACGCGGCAUGGCUGGAUCAGGGUUGCCCCCAUUGUCCAAUAUUCCCCACUGCUGCCUCCCGUAGGAGUCUGGGCCGUGUCUCAGUCCCAGUGUGGCUGAUCAUCCUCUCAGACCAGCUACGGAUCGUCGCCUUGGUGAGCCGUUACCUCACCAACCAGCUAAUCCGACAUAGGCUCAUCCGAUAGCGCGAGGCCCGAAGGUCCCCCGCUUUCCCCCGUAGGGCGUAUGCGGUAUUAGCCUGGGUUUCCCCAGGUUAUCCCCCACUACCGGGCAGAUUCCUAUGCAUUACUCACCCGUCCGCCGCUCGCCACCAGGGAGCAAGCUCCCCGUGCUGCCGCUCGACUUGCAUGUGUUAGGCCUGCCGCCAGCGUUCAAUCUGAGCCAUGAUCAAACUCUGA
rnacentral:rRNA from 1 species